rnacentral:rRNA from 1 species
UACGGGGGGGGCAAGCGUUGUUCGGAAUUACUGGGCGUAAAGGGCUCGUAGGCGCCAACUAAGUCGGACGUGAAAUCCCUCGGCUUAACCGGGGAACUGCGUCCGAUACUGGUUGGCUUGAGUUUGGGAGAGGGAUGCGGAAUUCCAGGUGUAGCGGUGAAAUGCGUAGAUAUCUGGAGGAACACCGGUGGCGAAGGCAGCAUCCUGGACCAAUACUGACGCUGAGGAGCGAAAGCCAGGGGAGCAAAGCGGG